rnacentral:rRNA from 1 species
UAAGACGAACCGUGCAAACGUUGUUCGGAAUCACUGGGCUUAAAGGGCGCGUAGGCGGGUGAUCAAGUCAGGGGUGAAAUCUUUCGGCUUAACCGGAAAAUUGCCUUUGAUACUGGUCGUCUCGAGUGAGGUAGGGGCAUGUGGAACUUCCGGUGGAGCGGUGAAAUGCGUUGAUAUCGGAAGGAACGCCGGUGGCGAAAGCGACGUGCUGGACCUCUUCUGACGCUGAUGCGCGAAAGCUAGGGGAGCGAACGGGAUUAGAUACCCCGGUAGUCCUAGCCCUAAACGAUGGGUACUAGGUAGUGGACUUAACAUGGGUUCACUGCCGAAGCAAAAGUGUUAAGUACCCCGCCUGGGGAGUAUGGUCGCAAGGCUG